UAUCACUAAGCGGAGGAAAAGAAACUAACAAGGAUUCCCUUAGUAACUGCGAGUGAACAGGGAUUAGCCCAACACCGAAGCCUGCGAUUAAUUGAUCGUGAGGCAAUGUGGUGUUUAGGUUGGCUUCAGACAUUACUGCUCUGCCCCAAGUCCAGCAAUGAGUACGGCUUCCCAUUCUGGCCCAAAGAGGGUGAAAGGCCCGUGGGGGUAGAGAUCAGUGUGACAGUUCUGUUCUGAGCUACCCUUGGAGUCGGGUUGUUUGUGAAUGCAGCCCAAAGUGGGUGGUAGACUCCAUCCAAGGCUAAAUACUUACACGAGUCCGAUAGCAAACAAGUACCGUGAGGGAAAGUUGAAAAGUACUUUGAAGAGAGAGUAAACAGUGCGUGAAACCGUUCAAAGGUAAACAGGUGGAGUUGAACUGCAAGCUCUGGGAAUUCAGCUGAUGAGUGUGAUUUGUGCUUGGGCAUACUGGCCGCCUUUAGUGUCUGCUUAACCGCAGGUGCCUGCCUUUUUGGUGGGUAUGUGUGAAUCGUUUACAUACGACGCACGCACUGUUGGUGUGAGGGUCUGCUUGUCAGUGCACUUUCUCAGGGUGUUCACCACGACCGGCACUGCUGCCUGUCUGCUAUGGCCAAACUGAUCAGGUCUGAUUUCCGUCAGUCUUGGUUGGGUCGGCAGGUGACUCUUUGGCUCAUCUAUGGGCUGUGAGUGUUACUAGCCGGCUGUAGCGGASSUGUGCGGUGUGUCGGAGAUGGCGGCUUCGCAUGCGUGCCUAGACCUUCGGGCGUUGUUGAGUCUGGUCGGCUCGUUACUAGCUUCGGCUGGUCGGCUGAUGGCUUGAUUUUGUCACGUUGGCGGUUGCGUGUGUGGUUUGCGUUGGGCCAAUAGUCUGUGGUGUAGUGGUAGACGAUCCACCUGACCCGUCUUGAAACACGGACCAAGGAGUUUAACAUGUGCGCGAGUCAUUGGGUGUUACGAAACCCAAAGGCGAAGUGAAGGUAAAGGUUCGGCUUGUCCGGACUGAGGUGAGAUCCUGUUGUCUUGCUCAUACUUUCCAAGUUGCGAGCAGCGGGCGCAUCACCGGCCCGUCCCAUGACGUAGACAUGUGACCUCGUGUUGUGUGCACCGUCGGGGCGGAGCAAGAGCGUACACGUUGAGACCCGAAAGAUGGUGAACUAUGCUUGUGAAGGUUGAAGCCUGAGGAAACUCUGGUGGAGGACCGUAGCGAUUCUGACGUGCAAAUCGAUCGUAUAACGUGAGUAUAGGGGCGAAAGACUAAUCGAACUAUCUAGUAGCUGGUUCCCU
rnacentral:rRNA from 1 species